rnacentral:rRNA from 1 species
CCUACGGGAGUCAGCAGUGAGGAAUAUUGGUCAAUGGGCGAGAGCCUGAACCAGCCAAGUCGCGUGAGGGAGUACUGCCCUAUGGGUUGUAAACCUCUUUUGUCGGGGAGCAAAAGCCGGACGUGUCCGGCUGUGAGAGUACCCGAAGAAAAAGCAUCGGCUAACUCCGGGCCAGCAGCCGCGGUAAUACGGAGGAUGCGAGCGUUAUCCGGAUUUAUUGGGUUUAAAGGGUGCGCAGGCGGAUUUUUAAGUCAGCGGUAAAAUCGUGGGGCUCAACCCCAUCCAGCCGUUGAAACUGGGGAUCUAGAGUGUGCGAGAGGUAUGCGGAAUGCGUGGUGUAGCGGUGAAAUGCAUAGAUAUCACGCAGAACCCCGAUUGCGAAGGCAGCAUACCGGUGCACAACUGACGCUCAGGCACGAAAGCGUGGGUAUCGAACAGGAUUAGAUACCCUGGUAGUC